rnacentral:lncRNA from 1 species
AUAUCAUCUAAGCUAAAGACUCUUAACAUUCCCAUUGCGAAACCUUUCCUGGUCUAUCAUGUUUUGAAUAGCCUUCGUAGCAAGUUUAAUCAGCUUAAGGUUGCUUACAAUGCUCAGCGGGAUAAAUGAAAUUUAAAUGACCUCAUAGCAGUGUGUGCCAAAGAAGAGUAUAGGAUGCGCCGUGAAACUCUUGAAACUGUGCAAUUAGUUUUUCAGCCAUCUCAGAAGGCCUUCUCAUAACCAUAAACCUAAGUUUCGUAAGGGUAAUAAGUCCCACCAAAGUCAGCAGAAUAAAAAUUUUAGUGGUCCCAAAGGAGUUAUAAAGAAAAAUGAUCAAUGCAAGUUCUGUAAAAAGAAACCCGCAGAAAGACUGUUUUAAGUUUAAGACUUGGUUGGAAAAAAAGAAGAGUUCUUCAGGUAUUCCCUUGGCCUUAGUUUGUUUUGAGUCUUGUUUAGUAGAUGUGCCUUUGAAUUCUUGGUGGUUAGACUCAGAAGCAAGUAUUUAUAUUGCGAAUUCCUUGCAGGGGUUCACAAGAAAAUGGAGGCCAAGUGAGAAUGAAGUAAGAUUGAGAGUUGCAAAUGGAGUUCAAGUGAAUGUUGAAUUCAUAGGAGUAGUGAAGUUGACUUUAUAGUCUGGUUUUUAUCUUGUUUUGGAAAAUUCAGUUUAUGUACUGCAAAUGAGCCGGAAUUUAAUUUUUAUACCGAAACUUGAUGCUUGUGGUUUUACAUUUAAUUUUGGUAAUUGAAUGGUUGAGUUAUUUAAUGAUUCUCGUCUGAUUAGGAA